rnacentral:rRNA from 1 species
GACAGAGGGGGCAAGCGUUGCUCGGAAUCACUGGGCGUAAAGGGUGCGUAGGCGGGUCUUUAAGUCAGGGGUGAAAUCCUGGAGCUCAACUCCAGAACUGCCUUUGAUACUGAAGAUCUUGAGUUCGGGAGAGGUGAGUGGAACUGCGAGUGUAGAGGUGAGAUUCGUAGAUAUUCGCAAGAACACCAGUGGCGAAGGCGGCUCACUGGCCCGAUACUGACGCUGAGGCACGAAAGCGUGGGGAGCAAACAGG